AUUGAACGCUGGCGGCAUGCUUUACGCAUGCAAGUCGAACGGCCGCAAGGUGCUGACGAGUGGCGAACGGGUGAGUAAUGCAUCGGAACGUGCCCAGUCGUGGGGGAUAACGCAGCGAAAGCUGCGCUAAUACCGCAUACGAUCUAUGGAUGAAAGCGGGGGACCGUAAGGCCUCGCGCGAUUGGAGCGGCCGCUGUCAGAUUAGGUAGUUGGUGGGGUAAAGGCUCACCAAGCCAACGAUCUGUAGCUGGUCUGAGAGGACGACCAGCCACACUGGGACUGAGACACGGCCCAGACUCCUACGGGAGGCAGCAGUGGGGAAUUUUGGACAAUGGGCGCAAGCCUGAUCCAGCAAUGCCGCGUGCAGGAAGAAGGCCUUCGGGUUGUAAACUGCUUUUGUACGGAACGAAACGGUCCUGGUUAAUACCUGGGGCUAAUGACGGUACCGUAAGAAUAAGCACCGGCUAACUACGUGCCAGCCGCCGCAGUAA
rnacentral:rRNA from 1 species